AGAGUUUGAUUCUGGCUCAGGACGAACGCUGGCGGCGUGCCUAACACAUGCAAGUCGAACGGAGAAUUUUAUUUCGGUAGAAUUCUUAGUGGCGAACGGGUGAGUAACGCGUAGGCAACCUGCCCUUUAGACGGGGACAACAUUCCGAAAGGAGUGCUAAUACCGGAUGUGAUCAUCGUGCCGCAUGGCAGGAUGAAGAAAGAUGGCCUCUACAAGUAAGCUAUCGCUAAAGGAUGGGCCUGCGUCUGAUUAGCUAGUUGGUAGUGUAACGGACUACCAAGGCGAUGAUCAGUAGCCGGUCUGAGAGGAUGAACGGCCACAUUGGGACUGAGACACGGCCCAAACUCCUACGGGAGGCAGCAGUGGGGAAUCUUCCGCAAUGGACGAAAGUCUGACGGAGCAACGCCGCGUGAGUGAUGAAGGAUUUCGGUCUGUAAAGCUCUGUUGUUUAUGACGAACGUGCAGUGUGUGAACAAUGCAUUGCAAUGACGGUAGUAAACGAGGAAGCCACGGCUAACUACGUGCCAGCAGCCGCGGUAAUACGUAGGUGGCGAGCGUUGUCCGGAAUUAUUGGGCGUAAAGAGCAUGUAGGCGGCUUAAUAAGUCGAGCGUGAAAAUGCGGGGCUCAACCCCGUAUGGCGCUGGAAACUGUUAGGCUUGAGUGCAGGAGAGGAAAGGGGAAUUCCCAGUGUAGCGGUGAAAUGCGUAGAUAUUGGGAGGAACACCAGUGGCGAAGGCGCCUUUCUGGACUGUGUCUGACGCUGAGAUGCGAAAGCCAGGGUAGCGAACGGGAUUAGAUACCCCGGUAGUCCUGGCCGUAAACG
rnacentral:rRNA from 1 species